GCAGACACAUUCCAGCCAAUCAGCAGCAGACCCUCCCUCCCAGACCCUCCCUCCUCCUGGACAGCAUCCAUUUUACAUUCAUUGUGAAGCUGCAUUCUUAGUGAGCUGUCCAGGAGGUGGGAGGGUCUGGGAGGGAGGGUCUGCUGCUGAUUGGCUGGAAUGUGUCUG